UACGUAGGUGGCAAGCGUUGUCCGGAGUUAUUGGGCGUAAAGCGCGCGCAGGCGGUGCGGUAAGUCUCUGGUGGAAGCGCUCGGCUUAACUGGGUGAGGGCCGGGGAGACUGCCACGCUGGAGGGGAGCAGAGGCGAGUGGAAUUCCGGGUGUAGUGGUGAAAUGCGUAGAGAUCCGGAGGAACACCAGUGGCGAAGGCGGCUCGCUGGGCUCUACCUGACGCUGAGGCGCGAAAGCGUGGGGAGCGAACCGG
rnacentral:rRNA from 1 species